GACGAACGCUGGCGGCGCGCUUAACACAUGCAAGUCGAACGAUGAAGCCUAGCUUGCUAGGUGGAUUAGUGGCGAACGGGUGAGUAAUACGUGAGUGACCUACCUUUGACUCUGGGAUAAGCCUGGGAAACUGGGUCUAAUACCGGAUACGACCAAUCUCCGCAUGGGGUGUUGGUGGAAAGCGUUAUGGAGUGGUUUUAGAUGGGCUCACGGCCUAUCAGCUUGUUGGUGAGGUAAUGGCUUACCAAGGCGACGACGGGUAGCCGGCCUGAGAGGGUGACCGGCCACACUGGGACUGAGACACGGCCCAGACUCCUACGGGAGGCAGCAGUGGGGAAUAUUGCACAAUGGGCGCAAGCCUGAUGCAGCGACGCCGCGUGAGGGAUGACGGCCUUCGGGUUGUAAACCUCUGUUAGCAUCGAAGAAGCGAAAGUGACGGUAGGUGCAGAGAAAGCGCCGGCUAACUAUGUGCCAGCAGCCGCGGUAAUACGUAGGGCGCGAGCGUUGUCCGGAAUUAUUGGGCGUAAAGAGCUUGUAGGCGGUUGGUCGCGUCUGCUGUGAAAGGCUGGGCUUAACCCUGGUUUUGCAGUGGGUACGGGCUAACUAGAGUGCAGUAGGGGAGACUGGAAUUCCUGGUGUAGCGGUGGAAUGCGCAGAUAUCAGGAGGAACACCGAUGGCGAAGGCAGGUCUCUGGGCUGUAACUGACGCUGAGAAGCGAAAGCAUGGGGAGCGAACAGGAUUAGAUACCCUGGUAGUCCAUGCCGUAAACGUUGGGCACUAGGUGUGGGGGACAUUCCACGUUUUCCGCGCCGUAGCUAACGCAUUAAGUGCCCCGCCUGGGGAGUACGGCCGCAAGGCUAAAACUCAAAGAAAUUGACGGGGGCCCGCACAAGCGGCGGAGCAUGCGGAUUAAUUCGAUGCAACGCGAAGAACCUUACCAAGGCUUGACAUAUACUGGACUGCGUCAGAGAUGGCGUUUCCCUUCGGGGCUGGUAUACAGGUGGUGCAUGGUUGUCGUCAGCUCGUGUCGUGAGAUGUUGGGUUAAGUCCCGCAACGAGCGCAACCCUCGUUCUAUGUUGCCAGCACGUGAUGGUGGGGACUCAUAGGAGACUGCCGGGGUUAACUCGGAGGAAGGUGGGGAUGACGUCAAAUCAUCAUGCCCCUUAUGUCUUGGGCUUCACGCAUGCUACAAUGGCCGGUACAGAGGGUUGCGAUACUGUGAGGUGGAGCUAAUCCCUAAAAGCCGGUCUCAGUUCGGAUUGGGGUCUGCAACUCGACCCCAUGAAGUCGGAGUCGCUAGUAAUCGCAGAUCAGCAACGCUGCGGUGAAUACGUUCCCGGGCCU
rnacentral:rRNA from 1 species